rnacentral:rRNA from 1 species
CGGUCGACCGGCGCACGGGUGAGUAACGCGUAUCCAACCUGCCCACCACUUGGGGAUAACCUUGCGAAAGUAAGACUAAUACCCAAUGAUAUCUCUAGAAGACAUCUGAAAGAGAUUAAAGAUUUAUCGGUGAUGGGUGGGGAUGCGUCUGAUUAGCUUGUUGGCGGGGUAACGGCCCACCAAGGCAACGAUCAGUAGGGGUUCUGAGAGGAAGGUCCCCCACAUUGGAACUGAGACACGGUCCAA